GUCGAACGAUGACGUCACUGCUUGCAGUGAUUGAUUAGUGGCGAACGGGUGAGUAACACGUGAGGAACUUGCCCAUGAGCGGGGGACAACAUUCGGAAACGGAUGCUAAUACCCCAUAGGUGGAUUGGUCGCAUGACUAAUUCAUUAAAGGUGGCUCUGCUACCACUCAUGGAUAGCCUCGCGGCGUAUUAACUAGUUGGUAAGGUAAUGGCUUACCAAGGCAGUGAUACGUAGCCGACUUGAGAGGGUGAUCGGCCACACUGGGACUGAGACACGGCCCAGACUCCUACGGGAGGCAGCAGUAGGGAAUCUUCCACAAUGGGUGCAAACCUGAUGGAGCAAUGCCGCGUGAGUGAAGAAGGUCUUCGGAUCGUAAAGCUCUGUUGUUAGAGAAGAACACGUGCUAGGUAACUACUAGCGCCUUGACGGUAUCUAACCAGAAAGUCACGGCUAACUACGUGCCAGCAGCCGCGGUAAUACGUAGGUGACAAGCGUUGUCCGGAUUUAUUGGGCGUAAAGGGAGCGCAGGCGGUCUGUUUAGUCUAAUGUGAAAGCCCACGGCUUAACCGUGGAACGGCAUUGGAAACUGACAGACUUGAAUGUAGAAGAGGAAAAUGGAAUUCCAAGUGUAGCGGUGGAAUGCGUAGAUAUUUGGAGGAACACCAGUGGCGAAGGCGAUUUUCUGGUCUAACAUUGACGCUGAGGCUCGAAAGCGUGGGGAG
rnacentral:rRNA from 1 species